rnacentral:piRNA from 1 species
UGCACAAAGUUUUGAAGUGUGAGACAGU